rnacentral:ncRNA from 1 species
UGAGCCGUGUGAAGGGUAACUUUCACGCACGGUUCUGAGGGGGGAGGGUGGCCGCGAGGCCACCUUCCCACCCG